rnacentral:lncRNA from 1 species
CAGAAAGCAACUAACAUGAUCUGACUUUGUCAUGACAAUCGGGAAGGCUCGCUCAGGAGCUUCAUGCACAGGACACUGGGUGGGGACAAGGGUAGAAGCUGAAAACCAGUCAGGAGGCCGUUCUAAUAACCCAGGUUCUCGAGGCUGCUGCAGUCCUUGGCUCAUGGCCCCACAUCACUCCGACCUCUGCUUCCAUUGUCACAACUCCCCUUCUGUCUCUCUCUUAUAAGGACACUUGUGAUCACGUCGGGCACCAGGAUGACUAGGCUCCCCUCCGCAUCUUCAGAUCCUCAAUUUAAUCACAUCUGCAAAGUCCUUUUUGCCUGUAAGGUUUUGACAUAUGCUGCAACCGUCACCACAAGCAAGAGAGUGAACAUAUCCACCCCCCAGGUUUCCUCAUACUUCCUGGUCAUCCUUCCCUCCACGGCACCCCUGAGCCACCACUGAGCUGCUUCCUGCCCCGUAGAUGAGUUGAGCAAGUGCAUAUCCAACCUUCAAGAGCGUCAUUGUUCUGUCGUCUCUAUAAUAAUAAUAAAUUAUUGCUUUAUUAUCUGAUAUCUCUCUGGAGUUUUAAUUCGAUUAAAAAUCUUU